AACGAACGCUGGCGGCGUGUUUAAGACAUGCAAGUCGCACGGGACAAAGCGAGUAGCAAUACAAGUUUUGUUCAGUGGCGCACGGGUGAGUAACACGUGAAUGACAUGCCCUAUAGAGGGGGAUAGCCCAGGGAAACUUGGAUUAAUACCCCGUAGUAUCGCAAGAUUAAAGGUGGCCGCAAGGCUGUCGCUAUAGGAUUGGUUCGCGCCCUAUCAGCUUGUUGGUGAGGUAACGGCUCACCAAGGCUACGACGGGUACCUGGUCUGAGAGGACGAUCAGGCACACUGGAACUGAGACACGGUCCAGACACCUACGGGUGGCAGCAGUCGAGAAUAAUUCACAAUGGGGGCAACCCUGAUGGUGCAACGCCGCGUGGAGGAUGAAAGUCUUCGGAUUGUAAACUCCUGUCAUCUGGGAGUAAGGCGUGGGUGUUAACAGCAUACACGAUUGAUAGUACCAGAAGAGGAAGGGACGGCUAACUUCGUGCCAGCAGCCGCCGUAAGAC
rnacentral:rRNA from 1 species